AAAAACAUGUCCUUACGGUUUUGUGUGCAAGGUCUGGCCUGCCCACUGACGGUUAAAGGGCUAUAGUAUUUUUGACUAUACUAAGGUAGCAUAGUAAUUUGUCUUUUAAUUAAAGGCUUGAAUGAAUGGUCGGACAGGUAGAAGCUGUUUUUAUUAUUUAGGUGAAAUUGACGGCAAGUGAGAAUUCUUGGUUUUUACCCGGGGACGAUAAGACCCUGUAAAGUUUUGAGUUUUUUUUUGUGGGCAGCAGGGGUGUUAGUGAGAGACUUUAGCUGGGACGGCUGGCCUAUUAGUGUGAAUCUAGGCUGAUUUUGACAUUUGUUUUAUGGUCUUGUUGACCCUCAGGAGGAGGUAAGGAGGUAACUACUUCAGGGGUAACAGCAUUAUUCUUUUUUAAGUUCAUAUUGAAGGGAGAGUUUGUGACCUCGAUGUUGAAUUAGAGGUUUGGGGGCGCGCAGGUGACUUUCUAGAAGGUCUGUUCGACCUGUAGUUCUCUACAUGAUCUGAGUCAAAACCGGAG
rnacentral:rRNA from 1 species